UACGUAGGCAGCGAGCGUUGUUCGGAGUUACUGGGCGUAAAGAGUGCGUAGGCGGUUUUCUAAGUUUGGUGGGAAAUCUCCCGGCUUAACUGGGAGGGUGCGCCGAAAACUGGAAGGCUUGAGUAUGGGAGAGGUAAGCGGAAUUCCUGGUGUAGCGGUGAAAUGCGUAGAUAUCAAGAGGAACACCUGAGGUGAAGACGGGUUGCUGGGCCGACACUGACGCUGACAGCGCGAAAGCCAGGGGAGCAAACGGG
rnacentral:rRNA from 1 species